AAAACAAUAGAUUCACUAAUACUUAAGAGUUUAUUCAUACUUUUAUUAAGUAUAACAUAAGAUUUUGUGAUAUCCACUAGUGUAAAUAUUUUAAAUUGAAGAUCGAAUUCAAUCAUUGUAUUCAUAUAGGGUCAAGGAGUGUGGUUGUAAAAAAUCAUCAAAAUCGGAGUUAAAAUGACCGUUAAAUCGUGAUUUUUCGUUUAUAACCGUCGAAAAGUUUUGUCCCGUUACUUGCUCUCUGAAUGUUAUCUCGAAGUAUAUACAAACAUGUUUGAUGGUUGGAUCGUUGAAAUUAGUUUCGUAUAUUUCGUAUCCCAUGAAGUUCAAUGGUGUGUGUGUGUGUAUAUAUAUAUAUAUAUUUAUUAAGUAGAUUUAAAUCUAUUUAUUUUGUAUGUAUAAUUAUUAUAGUUUUUAGGGGUAUAAAAUUUAAUAUCUAUAUA
rnacentral:lncRNA from 1 species